AUUGAACGCUGGCGGCAGGCCUAACACAUGCAAGUCGAACGAGUGGCGGACGGGUGAGUAAUGUCUGGGAACCUGCCUGAUGGAGGGGGAUAACUACUGGAAAAGGUAGCUAAUACCGCAUCCGAUCGGAUGUGCCCAUAUGGGAUUAGCUAGUAGGUGGGGGAAAGGAUCAUCUUGUCGACGAUCUCUAGCUGGUCUGAGAGGAUGACCAUCGACACUGGAACUGAGACACGGUCCAGACUCCUACGGUAGGCAUCAGUGGGGAAGAUUGCACAAUGGGCGCAAGCCUUAUGCAGCCAUGCCGCCUGUAUGAAGAAGGCCUUCGGGUUGUAAAGUACUUUCAGCGGGGAGGCGUUACCCGCAGAAGAAGCACCGGCUAACUCCGUGCCAGCAGCCGCGGUAAUAC
rnacentral:rRNA from 1 species